AUUGAGAGAAUCAACCACAUCAUAUGAUCUCAUAUGAUAAACUUCUGCUUGCUGAAUCACAGUGAUAAAUUGGAUAGAAAAUGAAAACAAAUCAUUAAACAACCCUAUCAUAUCACAUGAAUUUAAUAUACAGAGGAGAUAGGUCACAGUAAACAAACCAGUCAUCACCAGCAUUUGCAGUGAGAGGGGCCUCGGUGGACAAGUGGUCUAAGUAGUUCCCCUACUGUAAUCACUAGCCACACAACACUCAGGUUGUGAGUUUGAAUCUCACUAAUGCUGGCGCACUUGACUCCAAUCUUAAUUGUCUGGGAUUCUUAUUUUCAUAUCAAAGGUCAGUGGUUUUCUCAGGGCACUCCAGCUUCCUCCACCAAUAAAAACUGACUGCCACGAUUUAGCCAAAAAGUUAUAACACCAACAAGCAAUCAAUUAUUUGCAGUGAAUAUCACCAUCAUGAGUUUACACUAGAAAUCACUCAUGAAAAUGAGAUGUGUCAAUGCUUAUUCAAAUACAUACCAAAUAUCAUUGACCUACCACUACUGGUUUCCCAUAAACUGACCUAAUGGUUAUUAUAUAUAAUUACAUUGUUGACAAAAAUAUAAUGUCUACACUGUCAUAAACAGCAUACCAUGUCUCUCUUUGUGUGUUUCUCAUUAUAAGACAACUUUUUUCAAUUCAGUGAAAUAAGGAAAAGUUUCUUCAGUAAAGAAAAAU
rnacentral:lncRNA from 1 species